rnacentral:rRNA from 1 species
AGUAACACGUGGGCAACCUUUCCUAUCGCCGGGGGAUAACACCGGGAAACCGAUGCUAAUACCGCAUGUCGUCACUGGUCGCAUGGCUGGUGAAAAAAGCAGCAAUGCACGAUGGGGUGGGCCCGCGGCCUAUCAGCUAGUCGGUGGGGUAACGGCCUACCGAGGCGAUGACGGGUAGCUGGUCUGAGAGGACGAUCAGCCACACUGGGAUUGAGAACGGCCCAG